AUGUAACCCACAUAAAAAGAGCUGCAUCUAUAACUAAGCCGAAAUUUUAAAUUCCAAUUGGGAGCGUGCCCGUGAAGGCAUCGCGACGCGUCAUGGCGCGUGUCUGCACAUGCCUGUUGUGACCAAUCACAUUCGCGAGGCACCGAUAUAUGCCUUCCGGGUUGUCGUCUCGAAAAGAUGCGGGGGAGAGGCGUUAGCGGAUGGAAGCAACAGUAUUUUGAUACCGCCGUGGGUAGAUGCGUGGGGCUCGUAUGUGACAUCGCACGUAGUGAAUGUGCAGGCUAGUGGUGCCCUGGAGAGACCACAGCGACACCACUACUUUGGAUGGCGAGCUAGGCCCAACGAGCCAGAACCCCAGCUACAACUUCCUGCGGUCUGGUAGGAGGCUGCUGCGGCCUACACUCUCCCCUCUUGGUUUAGUCCCCUAAAUCUCACUUCUGAGAUUUCAGCUUUGGAAUCUUAGUGCUGAUCAUCCUACUUCAAAUUUCAACCUGUCUAGACUGUCAUACGCGUUGGACUUAUAUCACUCAUGAAAUAAACUUUAUGGACAUUGUUGCCAGAGGUUGGACGAGGUUCCUGCACUGCCGUGCAGCGGAUAUUUUACAAGCUUGAAUUGUUUUAUUUUUUCCUUGUCUGCAGAUUUUGUAAAUAUUGGUGUUUGGUAGUUGCACUUUGUUUUCACUAUAAAUAACAUUUGUAAUCA
ensembl:lncRNA